GGAUUACAAAAGGUUUUACAUCUCGGCAUUCAUGUUUUUGUUUUUCUUUGUGCAAGAAUUUAAUUAUUUUUUUGGGUGUCGUCACAUCUUGACUCUUUUUCCACUCAAAUUCAUUUUAAUGCAUGAGUAUAUUUCUAAGGCAAGUGCUUAUUUUUUUUCAUUUCUUUUUCUCUUUUUUCGGUAGAAGCGGAUGUUUCUACACACUUUUUCUCUCUUUUUUUUUCUUUCUUUUCCUCGCACUUGCCAUUUUUAAUCUACGGAUGCAUACCCCAAACUUAUCUCUUUGCACAAGUUUUACAUUACACAGUCAUGCCGAGCUAGGGUAGGGAGUGUAUGGCUAAGGGUUAACAUGAUGGUUUACA
rnacentral:lncRNA from 1 species